AAAAAACAGCCAUAUAAAGAGCAAAUUUCAAGAUCGUUGGACUGUUGACGCGCUGUGGUUGUUGGGGACAAAUGCCAACGUUUGGAUUGGGACCUGUAUUGCUGGGAAUUUAGUUGUACGCAUCGUGAAGUUUGACCAAAAAAAAAAAAAACUGCGCAAGAAUUUCCACUCCGGAUUCCAAAACAACUUCGAAUAUUUCAUCAUUGAAAGAAUCCAUUCGGUGAAUUGAAGUUACAGUCUCAAAGUUUGGAAACUAAAAAAGAUUUGGUGAUCUGUGAAGUAGAAGUCUUCAAUUUGCGGUGGAUUUGUUGGGAGAUUUUCUGUAAUCUGAAAUCAGACUAAUUUUAGCAACGCAAAGGAAAGUACCUACCUACUCGUUGAAUACCUACAUCCUGAUCUCAUUCCAUACAAUUCUCUUGCGCUUUAAAAUCGGCAAAUUAUACCCAAUCAUCAACAAUGACGUGCGGCACGUGUUUCGCAGUUUGCUGCGUUCUAGCUACAGUAUUUAUCAAACUCAGCCUUUACGCCAUACGUGGAACAUUAAUCCUUUUGAAGUUGAUAUGGAAAACGUGUUGCUGUUCUUGUAUCGUUGUACCCGUCGUAGCAGCCGUACGAUACGUUUGCAAAUGUAUAUUUGAAGUAACCCUGAUUGUUAUUAAUACAAUUUGCGAAACAUGCGGAUGUGCUAAGCUGGGAGGUUCGCAUAUUGUAGAUGCUUUACAAGAUUGCGCAUGUUGCGCCGUUUUGAGUCAUUUUUUGGAGAUUUUCAUCGCGUUUGUGAUCAGUGUUUCCUACAUUGUGGGUCAAGCUAUCAUGUACUCGGUUAACUAUGCGAUUGCUUAUUUGGAAACGGAAACGGCUCAGGACAGAGCUGCUCCCGCUGUUUCGUAAAAUUUUACGCUGAUUUGUUUAGCUGUGAGAUAAUUUAGAAUAAUAUGGGCUCUAGGAUAACAAAAAUUGGGUAGAAUAAGUAGGUAAUCAAAAUUUGAGUUUUUUUUUUCAAUAACUCGAUUUAGAACGAGAAAUUCAAUAUUACAGAAUACAGAACCAAGAUUUGCUUUCAAGUUUAAUCAAUAUUAUUAAAUGCUAUGUUUAUUCUACGCGAUGCUGUUAUUUUAGUUACUUUUCACACUGUAUUAAGUAUAGAUAGGUACUUAAUGUGUAGAUAAUGCAAAAUAAUUUCACUUGUGGAAAGUUACCCUAGAGUUGUAAAAUAAUUUUAGUCCAAAAAGUACUAGUUUGACAGAUGAACGAAUCAUUUGCAUUUCAGCAAUUGAAAUGUUGUUUUAAUGAUUUGCUUUGUUUAUUAAAAUACAAAAUAUAGGGCGUCUUAAGGCUCAUUUAUAAUGGUAAUAGAAAUUCACAAAAAAAAAUAAAUGAAAAAGUUAAAUCUAUGGUUUUUAAUAAGAGAAUUUCAAUUACCAUUAUAAAUGUUACUAUUGAAAACCACAGAUUCAACUUUUUCAUUUAUUUUUUUCAUGAAUUUCUAUUACCAUUAUAAAAGAGCCUUUAUAAUAGAAUGACUCCCUUUCCCUAGUAAAACAUGGGCGAAUCUCAAUUUCAUGUUUGAAUGUUUGCCUAGUUUUAGAUUUGAAGGGGCCCAGUUAUACGUCUUAAACUAUCAUAUGUAUAACAAGUAAAAUUGGCAUAAUCAUAAUUACCAAAGAUAUUUUUAUAGAAUAGCAGAUUAUUUUUUAGGAUUAGAGAUAUUUUCUCAAAAAUACUUAAUGGUAAUAUUUCAGUUAUUGCUCUCGUAUUUCGAUACGUAAAGUCGUAUUUCAUCUUAUACAUUUACUCGUACUUAUCUCUUUAUGGUAGGUACUAGGUACCUAUCUUAUUUUUGUGAUUCGAAUUAUUUUUUGUUGCUAGAUUAUGAUUAUAAAUUAAUAGGAUUAAUUGAAAUUUUAAAUAAAUGCGAUUUUGCGAAUUCAAAUUCCGUUAAAAAUGUUAAUGUAUUCAGGAUCAGUAGUUAUAAAAAUGAUGAAAGCGAAUAAAAGUUGACAAAACAUGCAAAA